rnacentral:rRNA from 1 species
CGCCCAGACUCCUACGGGAGGCAGCAGUGGGGAAUAUUGCACAAUGGGGGAAGCCCUGAUGCAGCGACGCCGCGUGAGUGAAGAAGUAUUUCGGUAUGUAAAGCUCUAUCAGCAGGGAAGAUAAUGACGGUACCUGAGUAAGAAGCCCCGGCUAACUACGUGCCAGCAGCCGCGGUAAUACGUAGGGGGCAAGCGUUAUCCGGAUUUACUGGGUGUAAAGGGAGCGUAGACGGCAUGGCAAGUCUGAAGUGAAAGCCCGGGGCUCAACCGCGGGACUGCAUUGGAAACUGUCAGGCUAGAGUGUCGGAGAGGCAAGUGGAAUUCCUAGUGUAGCGGUGAAAUGCGUAGAUAUUAGGAGGAACACCAGUGGCGAAGGCGGCUUGCUGGACGAUGACUGACGUUGAGGCUCGAAAGCGUGGGGAGCAAACAGGAUUAGAUACCCCUGUA